rnacentral:rRNA from 1 species
UACGUAGGGUGCAAGCGUUGUCCGGAAUUAUUGGGCGUAAAGAGCUCGUAGGCGGUCUGUUGCGUCGGCUGUGAAAACCCGAGGCUCAACCUCGGGCCUGCAGUGGGUACGGGCAGACUAGAGUGCGGUAGGGGAGAUUGGAAUUCCUGGUGUAGCGGUGGAAUGCGCAGAUAUCAGGAGGAACACCGAUGGCGAAGGCAGAUCUCUGGGCCGUAACUGACGCUGAGGAGCGAAAGCAUGGGGAGCGAACAGG